rnacentral:lncRNA from 1 species
AAGAUUUGAAAUGAGGCAAGUGCCAUAAAUUCUUUGCUUGUAGAGUAGGAGCUGGAAGAAUGUAACUUGGCUUGGAAUGGUAUAGCUUGGUUUAGCAUGAGAAACUUUGAAGUGCUUGUGCUUGACCCCUUUUUUUUUCAAUUGGCAGGAAGCCCCCAAGUCAUUUGGAUCUGCAUUUUGGCUCCUUCUUUUUCCUUUUGGAAAAAUUUGCUUGGCACGAAGCCUCCAAGUAUUUUGGAGUUUGCAUGCGUAGUUCACUCAAUGGCAUGAAUGAUGGUUUUGCCUAAGUCCCCAGCCCUCAUACAAGAUCUGGUUUUGCUUGAGAAUGGAGAUCUAAGACACAAGCAAAAGGCACAUGUCAGUAAACCAUGUUAUACUUGUUUUGCAAAGUAGAUAGCCAACAAAAGGAGAAAAGAAAAAGAAAGAGGGAAUGUUCUUAUCUCUUUGUUUUCUCUGGUUUAUUGCUUCAAGGCCUCUUCUUCGGAGGUGUUGGUGAAGAUAACGGCCUGAUCCCC